UACGUAGGGUCCGAGCGUUGUCCGGAAUUAUUGGGCGUAAAGGGCGCGUAGGCGGCCUGUUAAGUCGAACGUGAAAUCCCCGGGCUCAACCCGGGAACUGCGUCCGAUACUGGCAGGCUUGAAUUCGGGAGAGGGAUGUGGAAUUCCAGGUGUAGCGGUGAAAUGCGUAGAUAUCUGGAGGAACACCGGUGGCGAAGGCGGCAUCCUGGACCGAUAUUGACGCUGAUGCGCGAAAGCCAGGGGAGCAAACGGG
rnacentral:rRNA from 1 species